UAAACAGCUGGAAGAAGUUGAAAGGAACUCGUCGAGUUCGAUCAUGAAAUAAUCUACGUAUAAUUUAUUAAUUUGACCGUAAAUGAACUAGGCAAGUCAGUUAAGAACAAAUUUUUAUUUUCAAUGCUGGUCUAGGAACAGUGGGUAAACUGCCUUGUUCAGGGGCAGAACAAGGAUCGGAUAGGGUAGGUUAAGGUAGGGGUUAUAUCUGUAUAGUGUCGAGCAGAGUAGGGUAGGUUAAGGUAGGGUAGGUUAAGGUAGGGGUUAUAUCUGUAUAGUGUCGAGCAGAGUAGGGUAGGUUAGGGUAGGGUAGGUUAAGGUAGGUUAAGGUAGGGUAGGUUAAGGUAGGGUAGGUUAAGGUAGGGUAGGUUAAGGUAGGGGUUAUAUCUGUAUAGUGUCGAGGCAGAGUAGGGUAGGUUAGGGUGG